rnacentral:tRNA from 1 species
AACUAGCUCAGUCGGUAGAGCGCACGACUCUUAAUCGUGUGGUCGUGGGUUCGAUCCCCAC